ACGGGUGCGUAACGCGUAUGCAACCUACCUAUCUUGGGGGAUAGCCCGGGGAAACCCGGAUUAAUACCGCACAAUACAGGGGGCCCACAUGGGUCUAUUUGUUAAAAAUUUAUCGGUGGUAGAUGGGCAUGCGUUCUAUUAACUGCCUUGCGCGGUAACGGCCUACCACGGCGACUAUCGAUAGGGGAGCUGAGAGGUUGAUCCCCCACCCGGGCACUGAGAUACGGGCCCGACUCCUACGGGAGGCAGCAGUAGGGAAUAUUGGGCAAUGGAUGCAAGUCUGACCCAGCCAUGCCGCGUGCCGGAUGAAGGCCCUCACGGUUGUAAACCGCUUUUAUUCGGGAAGAAUACCAGGGAUGCUUCCCUGUGUGACCGUACCGAAUGAAUAAUCACCGGCUAACUCCGUGCCAGCAGCCGCGGUAAUACGGA
rnacentral:rRNA from 1 species